UACGUAGGUGGCAAGCGUUGUUCGGAAUUAUUGGGCGUAAAGAGCUCGUAGGCGGUUUGUUGCGUCGGCCGUGAAAACCUGCAGCUUAACUGUGGGCCUGCGGCCGAUACGGGCAGACUUGAGUUCGGUAGGGGAGACUGGAAUUCCUGGUGUAGCGGUGAAAUGCGCAGAUAUCAGGAGGAACACCGGUGGCGAAGGCGGGUCUCUGGGCCGAUACUGACGCUGAGGAGCGAAAGCGUGGGGAGCGAACAGG
rnacentral:rRNA from 1 species